UGUGUAUGUGUGUGCGCGCACGCGUGUGUGUGUGUGUGUGAUUUGUUGAACUAUUUUAACUUCUGCAACUACAGAGGUGACACAGAGAACUUGAAAGAUGAUUGAAAAUAAAAACAGGAUCUAUAAUGAAAGGUUUAGGAUGCUAAGCAAAAGAAGUCUGAGAAUGGUUUAAUACUUUGUGUUUUGCAAGCUGUAAAGGCAAAGGAAAAAGAAUCACAUGUGCUUAAACUAAAAUGCAGGGGAUUUAGAUUAGCCAUUUGUGCUAUGAAUGUUAACUGGGCAUUCAAGGGAGAGUUGGGAAAUCAUCUUCACUGAAAAUCUUUCAAAAUGGAUUUGGUUUAUUUAAUGGAAAUGGGUUCAACAAUGUCCUUCUUGCUGCAUGGGAUAGAGCAAGGUUAUUUAUUAAGGAGUUUUUUCAACCCUGUAAGUUCUGUUCUCUUGGCUUUUAAUUUUGAGACAGUUUUAUAGUGUUUUAUCUUUGUGUUAAGUGAGCACACCCAGUGUUCUGAAAAGGGUUAGGCUUAAUAAAUAGGCAAGGCGUGUGUGUGUAAAUGAGCCCUGUGGCUGCUAGUGACCCUGCAACAGCAGGUGAUGUUAAGCUAACAAGCUGAUGGUGGUCAUCGGUGCUGUCAUUUCCUGAAACCUACCAGGUGCAAGCUCUGUGUGAGAUGUGUUACAUGGGCGCUUUCUCUAUUUCAUUAAAUCCUAAGUUUAACCUAAUAGGGUAGAUUUCACCAUCUCCUUCCGUACAUGUUGAAAUUAAGCCUUAGAAAUAAAGUUCAUCAAUUUGUACAAAAUUCACAUAUCUCUUAGGUAGCAGAAUCAGGAUUCAAACUUAAGUAUGCCUGGCUUCAAAGUUGGUAUUUUUUGCACUUGAUACUUUUCAUUAAAAUCGAUGUAUAUUGUUGGUUAUCUGAAAGUAAAAAAAAAAAAAAAAAAAAAAUCUAUGUAUGUAUCACUAAGAUACACAGUUUUUGUUUCUGCAAAAAAAGAAGCUGUGUUGUUUACAUUUGGUCUGCAGCUUCAGAGAGGGUUUGUGGUUGGUUAGGAAGCUGCCUUUAGAUUGGAGGCAGACACCUGGACAGAAGCCCCAAGGCUUGGGAGCUG